GGGUUCAGUCGUAAAUCAAAUUGAUUUCCACGCGAAUUCACUAGCACGGGAAAACGUCGAGCUCACGAACAGAUUGAAAACAGAAGGACCGAGCUUAUGAUUCCCCAAAUUAGGGCGUAGGAGAAAUGUGCUGACGGUCUCGUCGACGUUGAGAGCGUAGACGUAGAUUCAAUUUGGGGCAGGGGAAGGCGCGAAGAGCAAAAGGCGGCAAAUCGAGAGCUG
rnacentral:misc_RNA from 1 species